rnacentral:rRNA from 1 species
AACGAACGCUGGCGGCAGGCUUAACACAUGCAAGUUGAACGAGAACGGUACUUCGGUACUUAUUAAAGUAGCAGACGGGUGCGUAACGCGUGGGAAUCUACCUAGUAGCGGGGAACAACAGAGAGAAAUUUCUGCUAAUACCCCAUAAUCCGGAAACGGCAAAGUUUUAUCGCUAUUAGAUGAGCCCGCGUUAGAUUAGCUUGUUGGUAAGGUAACGGCUUACCAAGGCUACGAUCUAUAGCUGGUCUGAGAGGAUGAUCAGCCACACUGGGACUGAGACACGGCCCAGACUCCUACGGGAGGCAGCAGUGGGGAAUAUUGGACAAUGGGCGAAAGCCUGAUCCAGCCAUGCCGCGUGAGUGAUGAAGGCCUUAGGGUUGUAAAGCUCUUUCAACAGGGAAGAUAAUGACGGUACCUGUAUAAGAAGCCCCGGCUAACUUCG